GGAGCCGAAGGGAAACCAAGUCUGAAUAGGGCGCAUAGUCAGUCGGAGUAGACCCGAAACCGGGUGAUCUAUCCAUGUCCAGGUUGAAGUUGCCGUAAAAGGCAAUGGAGGACCGAACCCACAUCCGUUGAAAAGGGUGGGGAUGAGGUGUGGAUAGGGGAGAAAUUCCAAUCGAACCCGGAGAUAGCUGGUUCUCCUCGAAAUAGCUUUAGGGCUAGCCUCAUACGAGUCUUGCGGAGGUAGAGCACUGAAUUCCUAAGGGGGCGUCAAAGCUUACUAAGGGAUAUCAAACUCCGAAUGCCGUGUAGAUGAUGUAUGGGAGUCAGACGAUCCGAGAUAAGUUGGGUGGUCAAAAGGGAAAGAGCCCAGACCAACAGCUAAGGCCCCAAAAUGUGUGUUAAGUGGAAAAGGAUGUGGGAUUUCGAAGACAACUAGGAUGUUGGCUCAGAAGCAGCCAUUCAUUCAAAGAGUGCGUAAUAGCUCACUAGUCGAGAGGUCCUGCGCCGAAAAUGUCCGGGGCUAAAACACACUGCCGAAGCUUUGGAAUUGAGAAUUCAAUUGGUAGAGGAGCAUUCUUAAAGGGAUGAAGCAGUACCGUAAGGAGCUGUGGACUUUUAAGAAGAGAGAAUGCCGGAAUGAGUAGCGAGAGGAAGGUGGGAAUCCUUCCGGCCGAAUAUCUAAGGUUUCCAGAGUAAAGCUGAUCUGCUCUGGGUAAGUCGGGGCCUAAGGCGAGGUCGAAAGACGUAGUCGAUGGAUAACAGGUUGAAAUUCCUGUACUAUCCUGUAACAGAACUGUGGGGACACAGGCAGAGAGCGUGAGCCGGGAAUGGAAAGACCGGUACAAGCGAGGUAGGAGAAGAGUUGGCAAAUCCGCUCUUUAAUCUGAAGACGUGAUGUGGACUGAAAAUAAGUAGGGAAGCACGUGAGCUGACUGUCAAGAAAAGCCGCUAUUGUUUGCAGGAUACCCGUACCGUAAACCGACACAGGUGGAUGAGGAGAGAAUCCUAAGGCCGACGGGAGAAGCAUUGUUAAGGAACUCGGCAAAAUGACUCCGUAACUUCGGGAGAAGGAGUGCCAGUAAGAUGGCCGCAGAGAAUUGGCCCAAGCAACUGUUUAGCAAAAACACAGGUCUAUGCAAAACCGAAAGGUGAGGUAUAUGCUGACGCCUGCCCGGUGCUGGAAGGUUAAGGGGAGAGGUUAGCGCAAGCGAAGCUUUGAACUUAAGCCCCAGUAAACGGCGGCCGUAACUAUAACGGUCCUAAGGUAGCGAAAUUCCUUGUCGGGUAAGUUCCGACCCGCACGAAAGGCGUAAUGAUUUGGGCACUGUCUCAACAAUGCACCCGGUGAAAUUGAAAUACCAGUGAAGAUGCUGGUUACCUGCGCCAGGACGGAAAGACCCCAUGGAGCUUUACUCCAGCUUGAUACUGGGAUUCGGUAUUGCAUGUACAGGAUAGGUGGGAGGCUAGGAAAUGGUAACGCCAGUUGCCAUGGAGCCGCUGUUGGGAUACCACCCUUGCAGUACUGGGUUUCUAACCAGCAGCCGUGAUCCGGCUGGGGGACAAUGUCAGGUGGGGAGUUUGACUGGGGCGGUCGCCUCCGAAAGGGUAUCGGAGGCGCUCAAAGGUUCCCUCAGAAUGGUUGGAAACCAUUCGAAGAGUGCAAAGGCAGAAGGGAGCUUGACUGCGACACCGACGGGUGGAGCAGGUACGAAAGUAGGACUUAGUGAUCCGGUGGUAUAAAGUGGGAUUGCCAUCGCUCAACGGAUAAAAGCUACCCUGGGGAUAACAGGCUUAUCACUCCCAAGAGUUCACAUCGACGGAGUGGUUUGGCACCUCGAUGUCGGCUCAUCGCAUCCUGGGGCUGAAGUAGGUCCCAAGGGUUGGGCUGUUCGCCCAUUAAAGCGGUACGCGAGCUGGGUUCAGAACGUCGUGAGACAGUUCGGUCCCUAUCCGGCGUGGGCGUAAGAUAUUUGAGAGGAGCUGUCCUUAGUACGAGAGGACCGGGAUGGACUGGCCGCUGGUGUAUCUGUUGUCUUACCAAAGGCAUAGCAGAGUAGCCAAGCCGGGAAGGGAUAAACGCUGAAGGCAUCUAAGCGUGAAGCCCCCCUCAAGAUGAGAUAUCUCAUAACGUCAAGUUAGUAAGACCCCUUGAAGACGACGAGGUAGAUAGGGCAGAGGUGGAAGUGUGGUAACACAUGGAGCUGACUGUUACUAAUAGGUCGAGGGCAUAACCAAA
rnacentral:rRNA from 1 species